rnacentral:lncRNA from 1 species
CAUUUUUCUACUUAGUUGAAUGUGGGGUUUUGGUACCAUAACACGCAGCUAAACAUCAUUGAUACAAACUUUGAUGCAAUGGUUUUUUUUCAGAUUUGCAUUAAUAUUUAAAGACGUUUUGGAAGCAACUAAAUUGAAUUAAAAGUGGAAACAAGGUGGGCCUAUAACACUUGUUAUAUAAUCAUUGAAAAACACGUUACGAAAGCUCAUAAGUUAGAAAGUUAACUUUACUAAACAGCUCACAUUUUACUAACUGCUUUGGUAAUAUUCACUGAUGUAUUCAAUUAUAAGCGUGCGCCAAAAUAAUGUUUGUAUAUUUCUAAUUCCAUACAUAAUAAUUGCGAUAUUGUUGUUCAUUGAUACAUCUUUUGAUUGGAAUUGAAGAAAUCCAGUUAUGAUACACGAAACAAUAUUUUGUGGUGGAAAUGCAUAUUCCUGUAAAUAUACGGAGGAACAACAUUUUCAUACGUCAGUGAUUGGACGUUGCUACCUCUUCUUUUUAUUUUGUUUCAUGGUUAAAAUAUAUGUUUCGUAUGUGUUUAAUAAAAAGGAUGUAACUGUGA